GUCAAUUAACCUUGUGAGUAUAACCAAGCAUCCUUAUGAUAUGCUCUAGUCUGGACCCUUCUCAUUUCUUUCCAUAUCACAGUAUUGCAUUGACAGAAAACAAACAUGUAGUUGAAGCAAGACUUGCUUAUGUGAAAUAGAAAUUCCCAAUGCUUUCUAGGCCUACCGUCUAUGCUUGGAUAUCUCACUAUGCUUUUGUUUCACAUUUCAUGCAUGUUCCUCUAAAAUUCAGAAAGAGAGAGUGAGAGACCAU
rnacentral:lncRNA from 1 species